UAAAACAAACGGUUUUACAUCUUGCAGUACAGAGGAAACACUUACGCCCAUAAUGUCACCAUUCUGGAAUCCAUCCGCACGUUUUGUAAAAAUGUGCCUCUAAAAGCGUCGUCAUGCGCGAGACCACAAACACUGAAUUGCUCAGGGUGGAACGAUAUGCCAGAGAUCCUGGUUUUGGUUCAAAUUGGGUACAGUAAGAGGGGAGAAAAUGUGCUCAUUUUUUGUGCAAACAGCAAAAGUUUAAUGACAUUUAAAAUGGAACGUCUACAGACGAACAUUUUUUUUAUGAUUUGGUUACCGGUUUUGGUCCAUUUUAUGUUAUAAAAUGGGCAGAAAUAUUGAUCAUUGUUUUCCGGUUUAAAAGCAGACGUUUGCAAAUGAUUUAUUUUGAUUAAACAAAACCAUAAUCCGUCUGUUUUAAUAGAGGAAUAAAGAAAUCUGAGAAAAUCUAUUGUUGAGAUACUGAAAUUCUGAGGAUUUGGACACAUUUUGGUCCCUAAACCAUGAAUAGAUUUUCAAAAAGAAUGACAGAUUAAUUCCAAAAAUAAACCCGAAAACAACAACACGAGUUACAGUUUGUCCAUGGCAACGAGUUGGUAUGUGAAUUUGGGUCAAUCGCCAAGUGUGGGCCGCUGACAGUAAUUUGUUUGACUGUGCAGUUCAGUCACAUUCGGCUGAGUUGAGAGAACAAGUACCUUAGCGGCAAGAAGGCCUUUGGCAGCCAGCGCGUCUUCACCUUUACUGUUGGGAAAGCAGUGGUACUCGGCCUCCACGAAGGGGAACCGGCUGGCCAGGAAGAGGCCGCUGUUGAAGAACUUAAAAGAG